rnacentral:misc_RNA from 1 species
GAUGAAGAACGUAGCGAAAUGCGAAAAGUAAUGUGAAUUGCAGAAUUCAGUGAAUCAUCGAAUCUUUGAACGCACAUUGCGCCCGCCAGUAUUCUGGCGGGCAUGCCUGUCUGAGCGUCAUUUCAACCCUCAAGCCCCCGGGUUUGGUGUUGGGGAUCGGCUCUGCCCUUCUGGGCGGUGCCGCCCCCGAAAUACAUUGGCGGUCUCGCUGCAGCCUCCAUUGCGUAGUAGCUAACACCUCGCAACUGGAACGCGGCGCGGCCACGACGUAAAACCCCAACUUCUGAAUGUUGACCUCGGAUCAGGUAGGAAUACCCGCUGAACUUAAGCAUAUCAAUAAGCGGAGGA